AAGGACAUCUGUUCACAUCUUACCGGGCAGCAUUAGAUCCUUUUUAUAACUCUAAUACUGUCAGGUAAAGAUGUCGUCCGUGUCCUU